GGAGAGAGAUGGGCCCGUGCACCUGUCCACAGAGGGCCUCCACCCGCAGCGUCUCCACCUUCCCCGGGCCAGCCCUGCCGCCGCCGUCAGCUCCAGAGACCAACCUGCCCUCCAUCACCCACAGGGCCACGGCAGUCGGGGCCCCGGCGUAUCCAUCAGGCAAAGAUCUCUGCGAGGCACGGAACGAGUCGGCCCUGCCCAGAGGGGGAGGAAAAUGAGCGGCACAUGGGGCCCUCUGUCCCAGGACCUUCUUGGCUGGGCUCCCGAGGAAGGGCGUGGGCUCCUGAGUCGGGAAACCGCGGACGGAGGCCAACGCCUGCGGCUUCAGAAAAACGGCACCUCUCUGGGGCUUGGGUGUCCAAUUCUAUAGUUGGGGGCUCCCCCCCGCCCCCCAGCCCCGACUUUCCCCAGCUUCCACCGCAGAGACCCAGACACCUGCCCGGAAGUGUGUCAGUGCUGGGGGCGGGGGUGUGUGUGUGUGUGUGUGUGAAGGUGGAAAUACUGUUUCUAAGCAGCUCCUGGAAAGUGGACAGAUUCCGGUACCUCCACGGCUUGUCAGGAACCUUCGUCUCUCUCGCUGCUUUGCGUUCCCUUCCUCCAAGUGAGGGGCUGUGAACUCUCCGACGGGCCCGGGGGGAAAUCUGAGUUCUGAGAUCAUCCAGUCCGGCCCUCCUUCCCGCCUCAGUUCCACCGAGUAUCAAACUGCUGGGGGAGAUUUUGGGGGAAGCCACAAGUUGGAGCCAAGAACCCAUGAUUGAAAUUCUCCGCCAAUAAAUCCCUCCCAGCUGA